GACGAACGCUGGCGGCGUGCCUAAUACAUGCAAGUAGAACGCUGAAGGAGGAGCUUGCUUCUCUGGAUGAGUUGCGAACGGGUGAGUAACGCGGAGGUAACCUGCCUGGUAGCGGGGGAUAACUAUUGGAAACGAUAGCUAAUACCGCAUAAGAGUAGAUGUUGCAUGACAUUUGCUUAAAAGGUGCAAUUGCAUCACUACCAGAUGGAACUGCGUUGUAUUAGCUAGUUGGUGAGGUAACGGCUCACCAAGGCAACGAUACAUAGCCGACCUGAGAGGGUGAUCGGCCACACUGGGACUGAGACACGGCCCAGACUCCUACGGGAGGCAGCAGUAGGGAAUCUUCGGCAAUGGACGGAAGUCUGACCGAGCAACGCCGCGUGAGUGAAGAAGGUUUUCGGAUCGUAAAGCUCUGUUGUAAGAGAAGAACGAGUGUGAGAGUGGAAAGUUCACACUGUGACGGUAGCUUACCAGAAAGGGACGGCUAACUACGUG
rnacentral:rRNA from 1 species